GUGGGGAAUUUUGGACAAUGGGGGCAACCCUGAUCCAGCCAUGCCGCGUGCGGGAAGAAGGCCUUCGGGUUGUAAACCGCUUUUGUCAGGGAAGAAAUCCUUUGGGUUAAUACCUCGGAGGGAUGACGGUACCUGAAGAAUAAGCACCGACUAACUACGUGCCAGCAGCCGCGGUAAUACGUAGGGUGCGGGCGUUAAUCGGAAUUACUGGGCGUAAAGCGUGCGCAGGCGGUUUUGUAAGAUCGAUGUGAAAUCCCCGGGCUCAACCUGGGAACUGCAUUGGUGACUGCAAGGCUGGAGUGCGGCAGAGGGGGAUGGAAUUCCGCGUGUAGCAGUGAAAUGCGUAGAUAUGCGGAGGAACACCGAUGGCGAAGGCAAUCCCCUGGGCCUGCACUGACGCUCAUGCACGAAAGCGUGGGGAGCAAACAGGAUUAGAAACCCCAGUAGUCC
rnacentral:rRNA from 1 species